CUUUGUGUAGUGCGAUGUGGGGACGGAUCUUAAUAGGUCAUCCGGGUGUUGGAUAUCCCGGUUUAGGCAGAUGUAGGCGACAGGUAGGCAAAUCCGCCUGUCAUAUACCGAGGCUGCCGAUCGAGCGAGCUUGCUCGCGAAGUGAUUGAACGAGGUUCCAGGAAAAGCCACUAAGCUUCAGCUACACACGACCGUACCGCAAACCGACACUGGUGCGCGAGAUGAGUAUUCUAAGGCGCUUGAGAGAACUCGGGAGAAGGAACUCGGCAAAUUGACACCGUAACUUCGGAAGAAGGUGUGCCCUAGUAGUGUGAAGUGAACAACGGAGCAUGAAUGGGUUGCAAAAAAUCGGUGGCUGCGACUGUUUAUUAAAAACACAGCACUCUGCAAACACGAAAGUGGACGUAUAGGGUGUGACGCCUGCCCGGUGCUGGAAGAUUAAAUGAUGGGGUGCAAGCUCUUGAUUGAAGUCCCAGUAAACGGCGGCCGUAACAAUAACGGUCCUAAGGUAGCGAAAUUCCUUGUCGGGUAAGUUCCGACCUGCACGAAUGGCGUAACGAUGGCCACACUGUCUCCUCCCGAGACUCAGCGAAGUUGAAAUGUUUGUGAUGAUGCAAUCUCCCCGCGGAAAGACGGAAAGACCCCAUGAACCUUUACUGUAGCUUUGUAUUGGACUUUGAACAGAUCUGUGUAGGAUAGGUGGGAGGCUUUGAAGCAGGGUCGCUAGAUCUUGUGGAGCCAACGUUGAAAUACCACCCUGGUGUGUUUGAGGUUCUAACCUAGGUCCAUUAUCUGGAUCGGGGACAGUGCAUGGUAGGCAGUUUGACUGGGGCGGUCUCCUCCCAAAGCGUAACGGAGGAGUUCGAAGGUACGCUAGUUACGGUCGGACAUCGUGACGAUAGUGCAAUGGCAUAAGCGUGCUUAACUGCGAGACUGACAAGUCGAGCAGAUGCGAAAGCAGGACAUAGUGAUCCGGUGGUUCUGUAUGGAAGGGCCAUCGCUCAACGGAUAAAGGUACUCUGGGGAUAACAGGCUGAUACCGCCCAAGAGUUCAUAUCGACGGCGGUGUUUGGCACCUCGAUGUCGGCUCAUCUCAUCCUGGGGCUGUAGCCGGUCCCAAGGGUAUGGCUGUUCGCCAUUUAAAGAGGUACGUGAGCUGGGUUUAAAACGUCGUGAGACAGUUUGGUCCCUAUCUUCCGUGGGCGCUGCAGAUUUGAGGAAGCCUGCUCCUAGUACGAGAGGACCGGAGUGGACGCACCUCUGGUGUAUCGGUUGUCACGCCAGUGGCAUUGCCGAGUAGCUAUGUGCGGAAGAGAUAACCGCUGAAAGCAUCUAAGCGGGAAACUCGUUCCAAGAUGAGAUCUGCCGGGGCCUUGAGCCCCCUAAAGAGUCGUUCAAGACCAGGACGUUGAUAGGUCAGGUGUGGAAGCGCAGUAAUGCGUUAAGCUAACUGAUACUAAUUGCUCGUGCGGCUUGACCCC
rnacentral:rRNA from 1 species